GGGCGAGUGGUGGAAUUGGUAGACACGCUAGCCUUAGGAGCUAGUGCCGCAAGGUGUGAGGGUUCGAGUCCCUCCUCGCCCACCA
rnacentral:tRNA from 2 species